rnacentral:rRNA from 1 species
AUGAUGCGCGUGGGAAAUGGUUCCAAAGUCGAUGUGAUCGUCGUCGACACGCUACCUCUACAUCUACCUUCGGAAUUAGUUUUAGACCUAAAUAAUUGUUAUUUGAUGCCAGCGUUGGGCAUGAACAUUAUAUCUGGAUCUUGUUUGAUGCGAGACGGUUAUUCAUUUAAAUCAGAGAAUAAUGGUUAUUCUAUUUAUAUGAGUAAUAUCUUUUAUGGUCAUGCACCCUUGAUGAGUGGUCUAUUUUUACUAAAUCUUGAUAAUAGUGAUACACAUGUUCAUAGUAUUGAAGCCAAAAGAUAUAAGUUUAAUAAUGAUAGUGCAACUUAUUUGUGGCACUGCCGCUUAGGUCAUAUUGGUGUAAAGCGCAUGAAGAAACUCCAUGCUGAUGGGCUUUUGGAAUCACUUGAUUAUGAAUCACUUAAUGCUUGCGAACCAUGCCUCAUGGGCAAGAUGACUAAGACUCCGUUCUCCGGAACAAUGGAGCGAGCAACAGACUUGUUGGAAAUAAUACAUACUGAUGUAUGCGGUCCGAUGAGUGUUGAUGCUCGCGGCGUGUAUCGUUAUUUCUUAUCUUCACAGAUGAUUUGA